GAUGAACGCUGACAGAAUGCUUAACACAUGCAAGUCAUUGGCGAAGCUGCGCUUGCGCAGUCUAGCCAAGGCGGACGGGUGAGUAACGCGUAAGGAACUUGCCCUGCAGACAGGGGUAACAGACGGAAACGACUGAUAACACCUGGUAUUGUCAGGCUGGCGCAUGCCGGCCUGAUGAAAGGAGACGCUGCAGGAGAGCCUUGCGUCCUAUUAGCUAGUUGGUGGGGUAACGGCCCACCAAGGCGAUGAUAGGUAGCCGGCCUGAGAGGGUGAACGGCCACAAGGGGACUGAGAUACGGCCCUUACUCCUACGGGAGGCAGCAGUGGGGAAUAUUGGACAAUGGGGGCAACCCUGAUCCAGCAAUUCUGUGUGCACGAAGAAGGUUUUCGGAUUGUAAAGUGCUUUCAGCAGGGAAGAAGAAAGUGACGGUACCUGCAGAAGAAGCGACGGCUAAAUACGUG
rnacentral:rRNA from 1 species